rnacentral:tmRNA from 1 species
GGGGCUGAUUCUGGAUUCGACGGGAUUUGCGAAACCCAAGGUGCAUGCCGAGGGGCGGUUGGCCUCGUAAAAAGCCGCAAAAAAUAGUCGCAAACGACGAAAACUACGCUUUAGCAGCUUAAUAACCUGCUUAGAGCCCUCUCUCCCUAGCCUCCGCUCUUAGGACGGGGAUCAAGAGAGGUCAAACCCAAAAGAGAUCGCGUGGAAGCCCUGCCUGGGGUUGAAGUGUUAAAACUUAAUCAGGCUAGUUUGUUAGUGGCGUGUCCGUCCGCAGCUGGCAAGCGAAUGUAAAGACUGACUAAGCAUGUAGUACCGAGGAUGUAGGAAUUUCGGACGCGGGUUCAACUCCCGCCAGCUCCACCA